rnacentral:rRNA from 1 species
CCUACGGGAGGCAGCAGUGGGGAAUAUUGCACAAUGGGGGAAACCCUGAUGCAGCGACGCCGCGUGGGUGACGAAGUAUUUCGGUAUGUAAAGCCCUAUCAGCAGGGAAGAAGAUGACAGUACCUGACCAAGAAGCCCCGGCUAACUACGUGCCAGCAGCCGCGGUAAUACGUAGGGGGCAAGCGUUAUCCGGAUUUACUGGGUGUAAAGGGAGCGUAGGUGGCAUGGCAAGCCAGAAGUGAAAACCCGGGGCUUAACCCCGCGGAUUGCUUUUGGAACUGUCAGGCUGGAGUGCAGGAGGGGCAGGCGGAAUUCCUGGUGUAGCGGUGAAAUGCGUAGAUAUCAGGAGGAACACCGGUGGCGAAGGCGGCCUGCUGGACUGUAAUUGACACUGAGGCUCGAAAGCGUGGGGAGCAAACAGGAUUAGAUACCCGAGUAGUC